rnacentral:rRNA from 1 species
GACGAACGCUGGCGGCGUGCUUAACACAUGCAAGUCGAACGGAAAGGCCCUGCUUUUGUGGGGUGCUCGAGUGGCGAACGGGUGAGUAACACGUGAGUAACCUGCCCUUGACUCUGGGAUAACUUCAGGAAACUGGGGCUAAUACCGGAUAGGAGCUCCUGCUGCAUGGUGGGGGUUGGAAAGUUUCGGCGGUUGGGGAUGGACUCGCGGCUUAUCAGCUUGUUGGUGGGGUAGUGGCUUACCAAGGCUUUGACGGGUAGCCGGCCUGAGAGGGUGACCGGCCAAAUUGGGACUGAGAUACGGCCCAGACUGAUACGGGAGGCAGCAGUGGGGAAUAGUGCACAAGGGGAGGAAGCCUGAUGCAGCAACGCCGCGUGCGGGAUGACGGCCUUCGGGUUGUAAACCGAUUUCGCCUGUGACGAAGCGUGAGUGACGGUAAUGGGGAAAGAAGCACCGGCUAACUACGU